rnacentral:tRNA from 1 species
GGGCGGUUAGCUCAGCUGGUAGAGCGCAUGCCUUACAAGCAUGAUGUCACAGGUUCGAGUCCUGUACUGCCCA